rnacentral:rRNA from 1 species
CCUACGAGAGGCAGCAGUGAGGAAUAUUGGUCCAUGGUCGGGAGACUGAACCAGCCAAGCCGCGUGAGGGAUGAAGGUACAGAGUAUCGUAAACCUCUUUUGUCAGGGAACAAAGGCGGGGACGUGUCCCCGUAUGAGUGUACCUGAAGAGAAAGCAUCGGCUAACUCCGUGCCAGCAGCCGCGGUAAUACGGAGGAUGCGAGCGUUAUCCGGCUUUAUUGGGUUUAAAGGGUGCGCAGGCGGUCUGUUAAGUCAGAGGUCAAAGCCGGGGGCUCACCCCCGGCCCGCCGUUGAAACUGGCAGCCUCGAGUUGGAGAGAAGUAUGCGGAAUGCGCGGUGUAGCGGUGAAAUGCAUAGAUAUCGCGCAGAACUCCGAUUGCGAAGGCAGCAUGCCGGCUCCACACUGACGCUGAGGCACGAAAGCGUGGGUAUCGAACAGGAUUAGAUACCCCAGUAGUC